GAACCGCAAAUGGCCAGGCUCCACCCAUAGCGUUUCUAUUUUUGGAGAGCUCUCGAGCGCUCCGGAAACUGAAUCUCAGCAAGCUUUCAGCUGACGUGGACACUGCUGGUCUGGGCUGGCUCUUUGAGAAUCACUGGUUUAGCUCAUUCCCUUCAGGACUGCCAAGGUCAGGCCACACUUAUACAUGUAUUUCUGCCUUCAUCUGCCUGCAAAGGUUGAAUUAGACAUGAACUGUGCAGGUUGAUCUCUACCUCUGCAGUUGCCAUGCUUACAAUGCUCUAAAGAAUAGAACACCACAGGGAAAAGUGGAUGGAGUGAAAAUCAUUUCCAUCACCCUGGGAGGAAGAUGACAGAUCCAUCAGGCAAGUUCUGGAUGAAUGAAGUCAAUGAGUUGGAAGUCCUUGCAAUAGGGCUUCUUUCUGCUUUUUCAAGUCUUCAGACAGUUAGAAGAUUGAUUUUUGAAAUAACCAAAGAAUUUUAAGAGUGUUUUUGCUUCAUUGAAAUCAACUCUAGCUUACUUCUCCCAUAAUUUUACUUUUGAAUUUUGAAUUGGUUCUUGAAAUUUCCUUAUGCACCUAAAAAAAUUCAGUUGGGUUUCAGAUCACAAACUUUCUUCUGCAACUUGAUUUGGAUAGGCAGAAUUUUUUUGUUUUAUUUAUUUAAAAAAAAUGUGGUUGGUUUUAUGUUUUUCAGUGGCAACAAAACUUGCUAUUUUAAGUUUUAUAUUGUCAAAAAUUCUUGCUUUUUAAAUGGACUUAGUGUCCAUUUUUGUCACUAAGUCCAAUGCAGUUUUACUGUGGAAUAUUUUACCUCAUCUUCUGCUCCUUGGUCUUGAUUUUCCAGGUUAAGAGAGCAUGAGUUACUCCUAGAAUGGGUUACUCUAAGGAAGGACAGGUUACAUUUAUUUUUUCUCCUCACAGUAGAGGCUGGACUAAUGGAAUGGUUAUCAGAUCUUAUUAACUACCUGUUCAGCUGUUACUAACUUCACAAUUGGAAAAUUUUCUUUUUUCUCACUUCCUGCAGUUUUUCAUUCAUAGUAGAUGUACUAUUUUCCUCAUUUAUAUCAGGUUGCUUUUUCUUCCUGAUUUGUAAAUUUUCUCAUUUAUAUUUGGUUUGCUUAAAUUUGAUUAUCCUUGUGGACAUUUUCUUCAGGUUUGGAUGUUUUGUUUUUGGUGUUAAUUUGAACUGUAAUAAUAAUAGCUAAUAUUUUUGAAUGUUGACAAUUGUGUCCGGCACAUUUUGUGAAUCCAAAUAUUAUUUUGUUUAAUCCUCACAACUUCCUGGUGAACUAAAUUAUACUAUUAUUCCCAUUUUAGAGAUGAGGAAAUUGAAGGAAAUGAAAAUAUGUAAGUUCUCAAAGAACAUAAAACUGGUUCAAUUCAGUUCAGUUGCUCAGUUGUGUCCGACUCUAUGCGACCCAAUGGACUGUAGCACGCCAGGCCUCCCUGUCCAUCACCAACUCCCGGAGCUUACUCAAACUUAGGCCGUUGAGUUUGAGUCCACGUCGGUGAUGCUAUCCAACUAUUUCAUCUCAUAAAACUGGUAGAAAGGACUUAAUCAUUUACUACUAUUUCCUAAGUAAUAAAUCUACUUGCCUCGUUUUCUACGGGUAAUUUCGGCUCGAUUUUACUUCAGUUAAGGCUCAAAAGGUGCGUUGAGGUGGUCUUAGUUCAAUAAUUUCCAAACCGAGCACGACCAGAAACACCUGGAGCGGGCGUUGAACCACAAAUGGCCAAGCUCCACCCAUAGCGUUUCUAUUUUUGGAGGUCUGGCCAGCGUUCCCGAACCUGAAAUCUCAGCAAGCUUCCAGCUGGUCUGGGCUGGCUCUUUGAGAAUCACUGGUUUAGCUCAUUCCCUUCAGAACUCAUGAUGAUCUUCCAGCUGGCUGUCAUUCUCGAAGGUGCAUCUCACAUUAUUCUGAAUUCUGUUGUCUGCUGUAACUCAAUUCCUUUUUCUUCCACUGAAGACUGUUGGAGUGCGGGUUGACUAGGAGCUCCGUUUCAUAUUGUCUUCACUCUGGGAUCCAAGCUGAAGGAGCAGCCACUCACCCUAUGGAACCCUGUCAGUUGUGGCAAAUGGAAAGGAGAGCUCGAGGGUCCCACAUCAGUAUUUAAAUGUACUGACCAGCAAGAGACACAUACAUUUUAUUCACAGCUCAUUGGGCGAAAGUAAUCCCAGAAACCAUAAGGGGGGAGAGAUGCAAUUCUACCCCAUGUCCACAAGGCGGAGGACCUGAAACAGCUGUGAACGGCACUAAUCAUUACCAUACUGGAGAACGGUAUUCAUCUUGUGUGUAAGCUGUAUCUGUAGUAUGUAUUUUCCCAUAGCAAAAAUUAAGUAUUUCUGUUUUUUGACCAUUUUCUAUGGAUCGGGCAUUGUGCCAGUGAUUUACAUACAUUUCCUUCUAAUUCAUACAACAGUUAUGAGAGGGAGCAAAUAUUAAUACUCUAUAUAGAUGAAGAAGCUGAAGUGAAGUGAGUAUUCUGCCCACUUAGUGAGUAGUGGGGUUCAUGUUAGAGCUCAGGUCUUCCGGACUCCACAGAUGAUGCCCUUGACAGUCAUGCAGUGUUGUUUUGCUGUAAUACCUAUAUGUUUGCUUUUAGUGGUGAUUUUCACCAGAUUCCUGAAUGUCCUUUUAUCCAUAAUGCUGAGCUAGCAUGCUUCUGGUCAACUGAAAGUUGAAAAUCAACACUCUGUUCUUGCUACCGAGACUAAGACUGUAAUAUUUCUGAUUUAAAAGGAGAGUUACCAUGAGACCAUUCAGAUAAACGAACAGUCAAGAUUGAUUAAACUCAUGAGACCAAUUGUGUUAUUCUGAUAAAAUCAAGUUCUAGAUCCUGUUUCUAUUGAUUGUUUAAAAUGCUGGGUCAGUGCUUGAAAAUUGCAAAUGAUAGCCCCAACGUAUUUACCGUGCUCGAAUUAUUCUCUUAAAAUUGAAACUGCCUUGUGGAAAU